UACGUAGGGGGCAAGCGUUGUCCGGAAUCAUUGGGCGUAAAGAGCGUGUAGGCGGCCAGAUAAGUCCGCUGUGAAAUCUCGAGGCUCAACUUCGAGCUGUCGGUGGAAACUGUCUGGCUAGAGUCCGGAAGAGGAGAAUGGAAUUCCUGGUGUAGCGGUGAAAUGCGCAGAUAUCAGGAAGACACCCGUGGCGAAGGCGGUUCUCUGGGACGGUACUGACGCUGAGACGCGAAAGCGUGGGGAGCGAACAG
rnacentral:rRNA from 1 species